AAAACUUAAAAUUCAAUUUGUAGGAUAAAUUUGAAAUGGAAAUAAAUCUUCUUAGUAAUUUAGGUAGACUGCUUAAACUUGAAUUUGUAAUAUAGAUCGACUUUGGAAAAUUUUCUUUUAAUUUAGGAAGAAUGGCUAGAAUAAAAUUAAUUAAGAAAGAUAAAAGGAAGAGGGUUAAUUGUUUGCAGGGUAAAAGAAAUCUUACUAGUUGGUUUGCAGACAUCAUGUCAUGAUAAAAUAGUCACUAUUCGAAAGAAUUUGCUAUUCAAAGAGUGUUUUAGUUCAACUUUUCGAACAUUAAAAUUAUUAGUUUUUCUAGUUUUUUCUUUCUUAGGUUUCUUGAAAUAUUUUAGCAUCUUUC
rnacentral:lncRNA from 1 species